rnacentral:rRNA from 1 species
AGAGUUUGAUCCUGGCUCAGAUUGAACGCUGGCGGCAUGCUUUACACAUGCAAGUCGAACGGCAGCGCGGGGCAACCUGGCGGCGAGUGGCGAACGGGUGAGUAAUAUAUCGGAACGUACCCAAGAGUGGGGGAUAUCGUAGCGAAAGUUACGCUAAUACCGCAUACGAUCCAAGGAUGAAAGUGGGGGCUCGCAAGACCUCAUGCUCCUGGAGCGGCCGAUAUCUGAUUAGCUAGUUGGUGAGGUAAAGGCUCACCAAGGCGACGAUCAGUAGCUGGUCUGAGAGGACGACCAGCCACACUGGGACUGAGACACGGCCCAGACUCCUACGGGAGGCAGCAGUGGGGAAUUUUGGACAAUGGGCGCAAGCCUGAUCCAGCAAUGCCGCGUGAGUGAAGAAGGCCUUCGGGUUGUAAAGCUCUUUUGUCAGGGAAGAAACGGUUGGGGUUAAUACCUCCGGCUAAUGACGGUACCUGAAGAAUAAGCACCGGCUAACUACGUGCCAGCAGCCGCGGUAAUAC